AUUGAACGCUGGCGGCAGGCCUAACACAUGCAAGUCGAACGAGUGGCGGACGGGUGAGUAAUGUCUGGGAAACUGCCUGAUGGAGGGGGAUAACUACUGGAAACGGUAGCUAAUACCGCAUACCAUCAGAUGUGCCCAGAUGGGAUUAGCUAGUUGGGGGGGUAACGGCUCACAAAGGCGACGAUCCCUAGCUGGUCUGCGAGGAUGACAAGCCACACUGGAACUGAGACACGUUCCAGACUCCGAGGGGGGGCAGCAGUGGGGAAUAUUGCACAAUGGGCGAAAGCCGGAGGCAGCCAUGCCGCGUGUAUGAAGAAGGCCUUCGGGUUGUAAAGUACUUUCAGCGUGGAGGCGUUACCCGCAGAAGAAGCACCGGCUAACUCCGUGCCAGCAGCCGCGGUAAUUC
rnacentral:rRNA from 1 species